CAUGAUGCCUGUCGUUAUUUUCUCCUCUGACCCACCCCCCAUCAUGGGAAGAGGCCAGGCCUGACUUAGCAGGGUUCUUAGACUUGUCAGGAGCCAGAAGACAUCGUGGGGGAGGGCUGUGAGCAAUAGGAGCCUUAUGCUUGCGGCUGCUACAGGAGGAGGGCGAUCAGGCGCUCCCCAGAGAGCCUUCCAAGAUGCUCUCAAAAUCAUAGCCUGCCCCAUUGCCUCAUCCUGCUAAUCGGACCCUAAAACAAGGUAUGGCUUGCCUUUGAGAAAUCUGCUUGACCUGAAACAGUAGGUGAUGUACCUAGAGUCCACAAAUCUUCUCCCAGAGUUCUAUUUCCUGGGCAUCUCUCUACCUAACUCAGGAUUUCUUCUCUUCUGGCUAAGAACAGAUGUGCUAUCCAAAGCUGACAUUACUCUUGAAGAACAGAGGAAGCAACUACAAGCUCUCCAUUCCCUCCCAACCCAUCUGUGCCUUCCAAGGAAAAUUUAUCCGGGCAGGCUCCCAGGUUAUGCAAUUAUACAUGGUAUAAUUCUGUGCAUUUAAUAGCUCUUUUUUUUAAUACAAUUACUUUCACAUAUGUCAUUGCACAUUGGUGUUGUGACUGGUUUUAACAUCUCCAUUUUAAGGAUGAAAGAACUAAUAUUCAGAGAGGUUAAGUGAGUUGGCCUAGGUCUACACUGUGCAGCCAGCUAAUGCUAGAGGCAGGUCAAGAAGCUAGGUUUCCUAAUUCCUAUCUAGAAACUAUAAUCAAUGUACCAAAUUAUUUAUAUAAGCAAAUGAGCUAAAAGGUACUGAACGGUUUUUCUUUUUUCUCCCUGAGAAGAACAUCUAUGAACUGCCGUGUGUAGAGUGCUUUAGGACACUACUAUGGACUGAAUGUUUGUAGCUCCCCAAAAUUCAUAUGUUGAAGCCUAAAUCCCCAACGUGAUGGUAUCUGGAAGUGGGGCCUUCCAGAAGUAAUUAGGGUGUGAAGAUGGAGCCCUCAUGAAUCGGAUUAGUGUUCCCUAUAAAAAUAGACACGAGAGGGAUGAUCUCUCUCUUUCUCUGCUUUCCUUCAUGUGAGAACACAGCAAGAAAGCAGCUGUCUGUGAAUCAGAAAGAUUGUUCUCACCAGAUACCAGGUCUGCUGGCGCCUUGAUCUUGGACUUCCAGCCUCCAGAACUGUGAAAAAUAAAUAUUUGCUGUUUAAGCCACCCAGUCUAUUCUGACACUGACACUCUACUACGUACCUGGACAUUUUAUUUGCCUUAGUGUUCUUAUAAGUUGCAAGGCUUGGUAUACUUUUAUUUCACAACCAAUGUGAAAGAGAACCCAUCAGCUUCCAAAGAGAGGAGACUCAUUUGUUGUGCUCAGUAACAAAUGAAGAAUCUGAAGAACUUGUUUUAAACAAUUUCCAUGGUGGUCUUACAACCAGAUGCCCUAGAAUCCCCAGAGUACUUCUCUCUACUCACCAUUCCACCCAAAUCCACUGGAGACAUGUGAAAUUCACCAAGAAUAGAGUCACUUAGAAAUCCACUGACUUGGGAGCACAGAAUGAGAUUAUAUUGAUAGAGACAUGAUGUUAUUUCCUUAGUAAAUAAAAUCAGUAUAAAUAAGCAUCUUGGGGCUUCCCUAGUGGCGCAGUGGCAAAUCGAGGCAACACAGCUUAACCAUCCAUGUUACAAAUAAGUUUUUCACCAACCAUCGUUUGCCUUUUAAUUUAAAUUGCCUUUUAAGGAAAAUUUAACUUUGUUUACAAUGUUUAACAGGAAUUUUACAUUUAUGUAAUCAAAGCUUUCCAUUUUCACCUUUGGAUUUCUUCCAUUUCUUUAAGGUUUUAGAUUAAUUCUGUUCAUUUUGAUUUUUUACAAAGUUGACUUUUUACAGAUAACCCUGGGAUCCAUCUGAAAUAUCUUUUUGAAGUAUGGCAUCCAGAAAGAACAGCAGUGAUGUUUCCCCCAAAUAGCCAGUUACCCUAGCAUCAUUUAGCCAAUGAUUUAUAAAAAUCUGACAAACUACUCUGAGGUAACCUUAGACUCAUAAGAAGUUGCUUUGGUGCACCUUUAAUUCAGCUUCCCUUGCUGGACUCACCUACUUGAUUAACUGCAUUUACUUGGGGAUCUCAAGACUUCCUUAUUACCUGUGAAAGUGGUUGUGUCUGUAAUUUACAAUACUUAAGCUUGACAAAAGUCAUAAAAUAGUGUUAAAACAUAUGUAAGGCUUUCAUCACUAGAAUGAAAUUUUCAAUUAACAUUAUAGCCGCUGACUUGAUCAGGAAACCUUCUCUAAUUUCAAUUAAUAAUAAUUCUAGGACUUCCCUGGUGGUGCCGUGGUUAAGAAUCCGCCUGCCAAUGCAGGGGACACGGGUUCGAGCCCUGGUCCAGGAAGAUCACACAUGUUGCAGAGCAACUAAGCCCGUGCGCCACAACUACUGAGCCUGCGCUCUAGAGCCUGCGAGCCGCAACUACUGAGCCCGCACACCACAACUAUUGAAGCCCGUGCACCUGGAGCCCGUGCUCCACAACAAGAGAAGCCACCGCAAUCAGAAGCCCGUGCACCACAACAAAGACCCAAGGCAGCCAAAAAAUAAAUGAAUAAAAAGUUUUAAAAAUAA